CAAAUUCUUUUUACACUCACAUCCAACGAGAUUAUUAAUUCUCAAUGUCAUAGAAUCGGUUUCAAAGUAGUCAUGCAAAAGGGAUGAUAUGAAUAGUAGAUUCUAAUUGAAUGCAAAUGUAAAAUAUGAUGGCGUAAAAAGGAAGAAGAAACAUCUCUCAUAAAAAGGAAGUAAGAUUUGAACACACGAAGGAGAAAAAGGAAUUGAAGCGUUAACGCAUUAGUGCAUAAAUGAUAGAGUAAAAAUGACAUAUGACUCAUUUAAGUGAUGUAUUAACAUCAAUCAUUCAUUUUAAUCUAAGGGCUACCAUUUAUUAUUAUUGUUCUCAAAUAAAGACAACAUUCUCCCUUGAUAGGUCCUUUAUACAAUACUCCAUCCGUUCCAUAAUAUAAGAAAAAAAAAAACACAUUUUCUUUGUCC
rnacentral:lncRNA from 1 species